rnacentral:rRNA from 1 species
AUACGUAGGGAGCGAGCGUUGUCCGGACUUACUGGGUGUAAAGGGUGCGUAGGCGGGUCUGCAAGUCAGGCGUGAAAUACCGGGGCUUAACCUCGGGGCUGCGUUUGAAACUGUGGAUCUUGAGUGAAGUAGAGGCAGGCGGAAUUCCUAGUGUAGCGGUGAAAUGCGUAGAUAUUAGGAGGAACACCAGUGGCGAAGGCGGCCUGCUGGGCUUUAACUGACGCUGAGGCACGAAAGCAUGGGGAGC